UAAAAUGGACUUAGCAUUUUCAAGCCAUAUCGUUCAUCAUUUACUCCAGAGAAGAAUACUAACCAACAAUGACGAAUUGUGGUUUGUAUUUGCUGAUCAACCUAUGCGAUUCUCCCUGAGAGA
rnacentral:sRNA from 1 species